rnacentral:rRNA from 1 species
UACAGAGGUCUCGAGCGUUAAUCGGAGUCACUGGGCUUAAAGGGUGCGUAGGCGGGCCCGUAAGUGCUUUGUGAAAUCCCAUGGCUUAACCAUGGAACUGCUUGGCAUACUGCGGGCCUUGAGGUCGGUAGGGGUUGCCGGAACUCUAGGUGGAGCGGUGAAAUGCGUAGAUAUCUAGAGGAACGCCGAAGGUGAAGACAGGCAACUGGGCCGAUUCUGACGCUGAGGCACGAAAGCGUGGGGAG